rnacentral:lncRNA from 1 species
CAAUGUCCCUAACAACACACAACAUUCCAGGAAUGUACUACCAAAGUUCUAUCAAUAUUUGAAUGUCCUGGACAUUUAGGGAACAUUCGGUGAACAUCUGAUUAAAUUAUUCGUGGAAUGUUACCAUAAGACAUUCUGUGAACAUACUACCAAUGUUCCUGUUCAUUUUCAAAUUCACGGCGCAUGUAUUUGUGCAUGGUGCUUAGAGAGGGCAUCACGUGACUAAAAACGACCAAUGACCUCACUUCAGACCAACUUCAGACUUCGGUUCGGCCAUCUUGACAUGCAUCUUGCCUUGGCCACCUUGCCGUGCGUGAUCGUUGUUUGUUUUUAUUUGUGCUUUUUAAGAAUAUUUUUUAAUUCGGAUACUUUUAUAAUAACUUUAAUAGUAUUAUUAAUAUAGUGCAUAAAAUCAGUUGGAGUAGCAGAAGCAAUGUAGAUAAAAAAUCUGCAGGAAUAAUGUUUCAAAGGUUAGUAUAUUAUGCAAAUAUGUAAACAAAGGCAUGCCCCUAUUUCAGAAAAUAUCCAUUUAUUAUUUUAAUAAUUGCGAAUAAGCCACAAACUUGCUUAUUCCUAAUUAAAAUAGUAAAUAGAGAUAAUAACAAACGGAUUAUUUGUAAAAUUAAAUUUUUUUUUGCGUUUUUGCUAAUGUAUGCGUUUAUAAACAGGAUGGUAGACCACACACUAUAAUAGUACCAACUAAUGAAUACACAGUAUGAAUAGUACAGUCGGUUCGCUAAACUUAGUCUCAGACACAACUGGCUAGUGAUUUUAGUAAAUAAUUUUGACAAUUUGGUAAAAUUGGCAAAAAAAUAACUAAAUAGUUAGUAAUUUUGGCAAAAAUGGCCAAAAACAAAAAAAUUACCUACUAAAAUCACUAGCCAGUUGUGGCUAGGGAAACGACUAUACUAAUAAACAAUUUCUAAGCUGCUUUUUAUAAUAUUUUCUUUCCAGAAGAUCCUGCGAAGAAGGCAUGAAGUAUUGAUCAGAUUUGUUAAUAGAGCAGUAUGUUCAAAACAUUUUUUAGAAAAAGAUAUUGACAGAACUUCACUUUCAACCGUUUGAGAGACUGUGCUGUUCCAAUAGCUUAUAUCACACAGAAUCAGCUGAGAGAAGUGGUCUACAAAAAACCAGGAAGGAAAUGGAAUAUGUGGCUAUGAAAGGCAAAAGAAAGGUUUACAAAGCAAAUGUGACACAUUUUUUUAUAGGAAUAUCAGUAAAUUACAUUAAAAAAAUGUAUGAAAAGAUUUUUUGCAAUAAAAAUGUUUAUAUUUAUCAAGCAUGCAUUAUUUGGUAUGGCCACAUAUCGUCAGUGAUGUGACAAUACCUCCUAUCUGUUUUUUCAUGAGAUUUGUAAGAUAGACUAAAAACUUGUUUGGGCCACCUCCUGUUUUCAUAUAUUUUUUGACUUGUUUUGCAGUAAAUUUAACUAUCUAUUUACUACAAAACAAGCCAGAACUUACGUAUGCAAACAGGAGGUGACCUUAAAAAAUGUUUUUCGUCUCCUGCAAACCUCAUGAAAAAAGAUAUAGGAAGUAUUGUCACAGCACUGACGAUAUAUUUCAGAGAAUGUCUAAAAAAUAUACUGUGAAUGUUCAAAGAACGUUCGUAGACAUUCAUGGAAUGUUCCAACAAGACAUUUAGUCUAAAAAAUAUACUGUGAAUGUCCAAAGAACAUUCAUGGAAUGUUCCAACAUUCAUGGAAUGUCCCAACAAGACAUUCAGUCUAAAAAAUAUACUGUGAAUGUCCAAAGAACAUUCAUGGAAUGUUCCAACAAGACAUUCAGUCUAAAACAUAUACUGUGAAUGUCCAAAGAACAUUCGUAGACAUUCAUGGAAUGUUCCAACAGAACAUUCUAAGAAUAUUUAAAAUGCUGACACAGCACAU